GCUGAAAUUUUUUCCAAGUUUCCUAAUGAAAAGGGCCUCUUUCUGCUUCAUCAGUUUCAUUUGUUCAUUGCAACAAAACAGCGCGGGAGGAUUACAUUUGUCAAACAAAAUGAAAACAUAUUUAAGGGACAGAUAUUUUUUCCAAACACUAAUGGGGUUCUUUGCCUAAGUCUACAAUAAGAGAUUUUAACCAAUGUCAGUUCAGAAGCUCUGUAAAUCUCUCAAAGUUGGACAAUAUAAUAAUGCUUAGUACUUUUUUACUGCCUUCCAGUUCAACUGCUUUAUCACUAUCAGCCAAAAAUUCUCAAGAUUCAUCACAGGGAGUCUCAGUGUGUAGCAACACCUCCAGCAUAUAGGGAAAGUGAUGAAGAAAUGGCUAUAUCUCAUAGAGAAUGAGAGAAGUUUUGCAGAAAAUGGCUGGAGAAAGGUCAAAUUUUCCCGCAACCUCACAAUCCUUCUCGGAGUUAGUGCAGCGCAGUUAGCGGCACGCCAAAUUUACAAGCCAGGAGAGUUUGACAUCAGUGGGAGUCGUCUCAUAAAGGAGCGUACAACGUGACUCCAGAAGAGAGACGUGAAUUCCUCAAGCUCUUUGUAAAAUAAACAAAAUGUUGAUGUUUGUGGUGAGUUGAACAUCUGCGUUUCUCUUUGAGAAAUAAGCGAACUUUGAAAAUGCCAUUUUCCCCUGGUUUUAUUAAAUUCAACAGUUGAGAAAACUUGGCCGCCAAAAGUAUUUCUAAAAGGAGUGACCAAUAAAGAGUGGUGCCUUUUAUUGUAUUGAGAAAACAGAUGCACUAACCUUUUCCGUUAUUUUAUUUAAUUUAUUUAUUUAUUGUGGCUUGCACUUGUAUACCUCUUGCGGAUGGUGGUUCCAUUUCUGGUCCCACUGUGUUUACUUUUUGUCUCUGUGGGUGUUAAUUCACAUAUUACAAUUCAAGACUUUUCUUCUCAAGGAAAAGUUGUAUAGGAUGAGCAAAAAAGAGGAUCAAUUUCGUACUUAUAUUUAAGCUAAAAGGUUGU